ACCUUUGUGGUGUAGUUGGUAGCGCUUUGACUUAGUAAUUAUAGGUCCUAGGUUCAAUUCCAGGUUGGGGUA